rnacentral:lncRNA from 1 species
CUAUUUGUGACAAGAAAGUAUUUAAGGGAAAUACUUAUUAUCUUCACAUCGCCUUCUCUGGGUGUCAGACUGGGAAGCGUCACUGAGGUCCUUCAAGGAGCAAGCGAGGCCAGGCACAGAUUCCAGGGACACCGCUAAAGCACAUCUUUCUCAGCAUUGCCAGAAGAGAAAUCUGUGGCGCAAAUACGGUGUCAUGUGACCAUUUGGCUUCAGUUGACUGGACCAGCUACUGUCAUCCAUGCCUGGAAAGUCAUCCACAGGCUGGCCAGAAGCCCAUGAAGUGACCUGGGAACGGGCAUUGCUGGACGGUGGCAACAAUCCAGUGGGGUCUUCUCUUCAUGGAAGUCUGAACUUGAAACAUAUAAGAAAUUGACACUGCCACUGGAGUUGUGCAGAGGCCAGAAAGAGGACAGGUGGUAGAUACUGUGGGUAAGGAAAAGCCAGGAGGUGAGCAGGAAACCAAGUCAGAAGUCAGAGGCACAGUCAACGAAGCAGUGCCACGAGGAUGGUGCCAAUGCCUGUGGUUGCCCAGCAACCACAUUUCAUCAAUCUGAAGAUGCACCUUUCCCCGCCCCCCGCCCCGCAUUUUGGCAUUUUGGAAUGUGUCUAACAACAGACGAUGUCUUAUUUGCUGCUUUUGGUCGGGCGGCAGCCCUGAGGUUGCUGGGACUGCCCGCAGGUAGGUGAACUCCUAGAGCGUUGUGAUCCCCACGGGCAGAGCAGGCGCUGGUGGCUUUGGGAACACCGCGGGACCCUUUUCACUCCUAAGAAUCCGAGGGUCAGAUGCGUUUGGCAACAUUCUCACAGGAGGAGUCAGAGGAGGCUCUCCUGCAUGAUGGGUGAGCCGGCAUAGGAAUUGUGCCAAGGGCCAUUAGAUUUUGUAGAGACUCUGAACCCCCUGUCCAGAGGACAGGAGCUGAGGACAACAGCAGGCGAAAAACACAAACCUCAAAGUGCGUGCACUGGAAAGAGACCAGAAAGCCAGAUUGAAAAUGUGGAGGUGUUGCAGGAGUAAAUCACCGGUUUCCCUUACAUCAUCCUCUUUACUUUAUUUACUUAUUUACAGACAGGGUCUCGAACUCCUGGGUUCAGCGAUCUUCCUGCCUCGGUUUCCUGAGUAGCUGAGAUUGCAGGUGCCUUUUUACUUACAAAAAUUUUUUUAAUUGAGAGAUAGAAAUUGUAUAUAUUUAUGGUGUACAGCAUGGUGUUUUGAAAUAUGUAUACAUUAUGGAAUGGCUAAAAUGAGCUAAUUAACAUAUGCAUUAUCUCUCAUGACUUUUUUUGUAGCGAGAACACCUAAAAUCUACUCUUAACAAUUUUCAAGGACACAAUCCAUUGUUGUUGACACUAUUUAUUCAUUUAUUAUAGAAAUGGGGUCUUACUAUGUUGCCCAGUCUGAUCUUGAACUCCUGGCCUCAAACGAUUCUCCUGCCUUGGCUUUCCAAAGCCUCUGUGCCCAGCCAUUGUUGACUAUAGUCACCAUGUUGUACAAUGGAUCUCUUGAAUUUAUUUCUCCUGUCUAACAGAACAUUUGUACCCUUUGAUCAACCUCUCCCCAACCCAGCCACCCACCUCCAGCUCCCGGUAACCACCAUUCCACCCUCUG